AUUGAACGCUGGCGGCAUGCCUUACACAUGCAAGUCGAACGGCAGCACGGGAGCAAUCCUGGUGGCGAGUGGCGAACGGGUGAGUAAUAUAUCGGAACGUGCCCAGUCGUGGGGGAUAACGUAGCGAAAGCUACGCUAAUACCGCAUACGAUCUAUGGAUGAAAGCGGGGGAUCGCAAGACCUCGCGCGAUUGGAGCGGCCGAUAUCAGAUUAGGUAGUUGGUGAGGUAAAGGCUCACCAAGCCGACGAUCUGUAGCUGGUCUGAGAGGACGACCAGCCACACUGGGACUGAGACACGGCCCAGACUCCUACGGGAGGCAGCAGUGGGGAAUUUUUGGACAAUGGGCGCAAGCCUGAUCCAGCAAUGCCGCGUGCAGGAUGAAGGCCUC
rnacentral:rRNA from 1 species